UACAUGGGGUGCAAACGUUGCUCGGAAUUAUUGGGCGUAAAGCGCACGUAGGCGGUUUGUUAAGUCGGAUGUGAAAUCCCUCGGCUCAACUGAGGAAGUGCACCCGAAACUGGCAGGCUUGAGUACUAAAGAGGGUCGCGGAAUUCCCGGUGUAGAGGUGAAAUUCGUAGAUAUCGGGAGGAACACCGGUGGCGAAGGCGGCGACCUGGGUAGAUACUGACGCUGAGGUGCGGAAAGCGUGGGGAGACAAG
rnacentral:rRNA from 1 species